rnacentral:rRNA from 1 species
AGUGGACGUUACUCGCAGAAUAAGCACCGGCUAACUCUGUGCCAGCAGCCGCGGUAAUACAGAGGGUGCGAGCGUUAAUCGGAUUUACUGGGCGUAAAGCGUGCGUAGGCGGCUUUUUAAGUCGGAUGUGAAAUCCCCGAGCUUAACUUGGGAAUUGCAUUCGAUACUGGGAAGCUAGAGUAUGGGAGAGGAUGGUAGAAUUCCAGGUGUAGCGGUGAAAUGCGUAGAGAUCUGGAGGAAUACCGAUGGCGAAGGCAGCCAUCUGGCCUAAUACUGACGCUGAGGUACGAAAGCAUGGGGAGCAAACAGGAUUAGAUACCCUGGUAGUCCAUGCCGUAAACGAUGUCUACUAGCCGUUGGGGCCUUUGAGGCUUUAGUGGCGCAGCUAACGCGAUAAGUAGACCGCCUGGGGAGUACGGU